AGAGCCUAUUGGACAUAGGAGAAACUCUGAUGUCAUUUCCUCCCCGCAUAUCUCAAGAGUUAGCUCACUGAAUGUUCACUCUUUGACUCUUCCUGAAUGAGGAUGAACCCCGGCCUCAUCACCUGGACUUUCUUUCUGCUCUGGGCUGCAGAUGUUUCUCAGUCUGUGCUGAUCACUCAGUGGCCCCAAAUCAUCUCAAAACGUCCCAACGGCUCAGCUGAGAUGCACUGUUACCAGAAUGAGACAGAUUAUCCAUAUCUGUACUGGUAUCGACAGCUAAGAGGACAAGGUUUCCAGUUAAUGGUGAUGGUAUCAGCUGGCUCUGCAACCUUUGAAGAGGAUUUCAAAUCUGGUUACCAGGCGGUGAGACAGAAGAAGGAGGAGAAGCAGUGGUCUCUGUCGAUAGAGAGCGUUCAGAGGAAAGACGAGGCGGUUUAUCUGUGUGCUGCUAGUCUACACGGUGCUGUGGCACACCUCAGACCUGUGACAAAAACAUACAGCAGGGAAGCUCUUUGUUGUUCUGACACUUGACUCACAUUGAGAGUAAUCGAAUGAAGGAAAACACAUGGAGGAGGAUAAUACCUGAGACUUAUAUUACAUAUUUUGAGCUUUAAAUUAAAGGUUAUUCAUCAACCUGGGCGGCCGGGUCUUGUUU